rnacentral:tRNA from 1 species
AGACGCAUAGCUCAGUGGUAGAGCUGGCCGCUCAUAACGGCCCGGUCACAGGUUCGAUCCCUGUUGCGUCUACCA